ensembl:lncRNA
GUGCCAUGCAGAGAAAUUGGGGUUUCGCCAUGAAUUUAUUGACUUUAACAUCUAAUUUAGGCCCCGCCCUCUUCUGACCCGCGGCUCACCUCCUCAAUGAGAAUCUCUAUUUGAGGCUCCUUUACUUCCACUGCUGUCAGUCGGAUAUUUUUAAAAAGAAUUUCUCCUUUCAGGAUUAAAAAGCCUACGACAGGAAUUUUCUUGCAUAAUAUGAACAAACGCCUCUUCAAUGUCCAAAAUCGAUAAAUGUUAAAGGUUUGUUUGCUUUUGCCAGAAUGACGUUCAAGCUGCUGGGAAUGCAACUACCCCUCUAACCUUCGGCCUGGGAGGGGGGGGGGGCGACCCACCUUACCUUCCUCCGCGGCUCUAUAAUCAAAGUCAAUACUUCCUCCUCCACUGGACCAGAGUGUUGAUCAGUUCUACCCCCAGGGGGCUUCGCCUGCUGACCCCCGUCUGCGGCAUCCGACCACUAAUGCGUUCGCUGUAAGAAAAUCAGACUACAUAUUACACACGGGUGUAAUUUAUAGUCAUUUUGGUAUAAACGUCCACAUUACACACUGAUCGUGUGCUGCUUUACAGAUUCGAAUGGAAGCUGUGAUUCCAUCACUGUAUCUCAUUUUACAAAAUACAUCAUCCACUAAAAUACAUCCACUCUUUACAUUUGCAUCAAAUGUCCUUUGUCAAAUCAAAAGAGAUGAGAGUCUCAUCAAAGUUGUAUGACCAAGCCGUGACUCUCCGGAGAGGACACACACACACACGCCAAGAAGUCCUUUGUGGCAUGAAAAUGAUGAUGAAAGGCGCGCAUGGUAGCGACGCGCUCUCCUCUCUCUGCCUAACCUUUCUGAAAUGCUCGUGACACUCUUCCUCCCCCCCCGGGCUCCUCGUCUGCCUCCCUCAGCGCCGUUGUGCAGAAUUAGCCAUGCGAGGAAAACCCGCUAGUCUGUUGUCGAAUGAUUCACAUGGAUGAGCCUCGGAAAGACGAGCCCGAGAGCUAAUUGGUAUUCAGGGGGACCCGGCGCCACCUGUUCCAGAGACCUCGCCUCCUGGGGAAAGUUGGAGCGCAAUCGCAGCUGAUGAAAAGCUGAUAACGUCUAUUAGCCGACUUUAAUUACCCCUUUGCCUGCAUCGCUAAGCCGAUUUAUUUUUGUUAAUUUGUUGAUCCGGUUGCAGGAUCUCACACUCGGAGAGCUUCUGUGCGAUCGAUUCUCAAGACUCAAACGACUUGGGAGGCAUUGAACUCUGAACUAGAACCAAAAAAGCCACCUUGUAUUUUGGGCUUUUCUGUCCAAGCAGAAGGAAAGCUGGAGGAGGAGGCCAUGGUUGAACGCGGCAGGGGGGCUUUCUUCUCGCCUCCACUUUUACACUGAUCUACUGUUAUAGUGACAGGAACAUCUGCUGGUGGGACGAGAAGCUCCAGUGAAAAGUGUGACUGACGGCUCCACUUGUCCCUCAUCUCCUACUCGUUAUUUUUAUUCUCUCUGUUGUUUAGUGGAGGCAACUUGGUGGCAGUGUCAGCUGGAGUGCAGAGGGGGGCGACUGAACCUUCUAAGUGGGAGAGGAAGCUUCUUAACUCGGUCUGCGAGGAGUUCACGCUGACACCUACGGGAAUGAAGUGGAACCUCCACGCAGCGCAGCAGCAGCCCCCCUCCACACGGAGGAAACUACUCAUUUAUUUUCAUUUAUCUUUAUUAGAUGCAGGCGUACAGAGUUCUUGUUUACCAGCGGCCCUGUUAGACGUUCGCUCCCUUCCUCUGCACCGGCUGUCCUCCACUUGCUGAACGGGCCUCCCUGCGCGUUGCUUCCUGCUCCUUCGUGUACCUUCCUGUUUUCUUCAAGGUCAUCUGACGACCGGCUUAUGUUCCGGGCCGGUUCGCCGCUAAUCUGGUCCGUUCGGCUGUGAUGAUCUGCGAUCGUGGCCAUAAUGAAAAAACUGAACUGUCCAACUGAAGAAAAUUCAGUGCAUGUGUUCACAUCCAUAGAUCAUUGUGAGUUGUGACCGGCCUCCUGCCCUGACAGUCGUCCUGAGAGCAUUUGUGUGUUGGGGAUCCGCUCUGUCGCUUCAUGACCGGGGGACAUUCAGAAAGAGCAAAGGUUCAUUGUUCAUCUCUUAAAAGGGUUGGCAGGGCUGCCACAGACUGACAGGAGGCCAGUGACCCGGCGCCACCGUCUUUUCUCUCUUUCAAGCGCAAAACACCAGCGUGAAAGCUUUUUAAACUCUGGAAGACUAGGCUUGGUUAGAGAUCGAUGCAGUGCUUUCUGCAACAUUUAUUGGCUUGUUCGUUUUGAAAAUGUUCUUGUCUCUUCUACUUGUGCGCGUUGGGGAUUGUCUUUGUGUGAGACAAGGACAACAUUUUAGAUCAAGGGAACUCUGGUGGAGUAAAUCGCUUCAUAUAUCAACUCAAUAUCUUAUUUAAGACUCGCAGGAGGAUUCCUAAAAAUAUCAGAAGAAGAAUAAUAUUAAACCAAAAACAGUCAUAAUUUAUUCAUAAAGACACAAUCCUAUGUAGGCUACUAUAGACAACUGGGGAUAUGAUCGUAAUUCAUUUUUACAAAUACCAUGUAUACAUAAAAAUGUUACUUUGUAAAAAACACACACAGCUAAAGCAGAGAGACCAAUUUGAUGAAUAACCAUUUUGGCUUUAAAUUGUCUAACAUUCAUGUAUAAUGAAUAAUCUUGGUUCUUCUGUUUUAAACUGAAUUACAACGAGGACGUCAAGUCCUGGGAAAGAUGUUCUUCUGCUCUUUGUUGACUGAAUUUCCCCUGAGUUCUUGCAGAAGUUUGACAAUGGCAGACGAUCAAUUACCCCAACACUUCAGGUGAGCCAAACAGAGAGAGGACCGACAGCUAAAGCACGACAUCCACACAGAUGUAAGAAAGUAAAGACACAAAGAAGAGGAGACGCUGAGGAUCCAGAUCCAAACGUCCAGGGUUGAAAGAGGAGAAGAUGGUCCACCACAGAGAAGUCCGACUCAGCAGAGAGAACAAUUACACUCUGGGAGCGACGGAGAGAAAAAACGUUAUGGACACUCAAGUGCUUGUGGGACUAAAAAAAAAAAUUGGUCGCGAAUAAAAAUGUACAUUAAAUUAGAAGGUAUUUUGGAGUGUCUUUUAAGGCUGUGUUGUUUGUUGUUUGUUCCCAGGGUUGUUACAUAAUUGUGACUUGUUCAUCGACCGUGAGUUUUCUUCGUAAAUGAAUAAACUGCAGACGUUUCACGGUAGUGACACUUCAAAACGCCUGAAAUGACGCACGGAACGUCCUUAAAAAGACCUAUUAUUUAUGGUUCAGAUAAUUAAAACUUUAACAAGGCAAAAUCCAUAAAAGUCACGUUGUGUAAACAUUAAAACAAGCGAAAAGACACCCGCCAAACCUUUGCUUCUUCUGAUGCUGCUAAUGGGCCCAACGAUAAAAGGCUUUUCAGAUUAGUGCUGCAAAAGCAGCUUUAGGAUUCUCCCUGGCUCCAGCUUUAGAAGCCUCCCUCGUUUAAAAAACAUUAAAUCAUUCCAGAAGGAAAAGUGCGAAGAAACUUUAAAAAGUUGAAUUCUAUUGUGAUGUGUGUGCUGUAAAAUGUAUUUUCACGCAUGCAUUUGUUUGUGUGUGUAGAUUUGCAUAUAAGACGACGUGCACGUCUGUCUGUGUCUGAGAUAUUGGUUUAAUUUUAGGCUUUAUGUGACUGUAAAUGAAUGCUAUUGAAUAAAGCGGCUGGAGCUCAUAA